GGAGAGAUGGCCGAGUGGUCGAAGGCGCACGCCUGGAGAGCGUGUAUCGGGGAAACUCGAUCUAGGGUUCAAAUCCCUAUCUCUCCGCCA
rnacentral:tRNA from 1 species